GAUGGCCACCUGGCUUUAUUUUUAUAAUGAAGAAAGUUUCUCCCCCCAAAAAAUUCUCCAAAGCAAGGAUGCCACCAUCACCUCACUCUCUUGGUCCAUCACCUGUUAUGUCAACAUGAGAUCCAGGUCACUUUCACCUUUGAUUGGAUCUGACACUCUGCCUUUUCAUCCUGGAGAGUGGUAUGAGCAAGUUGAGUUACAGGUGAAAACAGUGUGCUUUCGGACUGCCAAGACCACAAAGGAGCUGACUCACAUGUAGGAGUCCGUUAUAUUACAGAGGCACUCAUUAAGAAACUCACUAAACAGGACAAUUUGGCCUUGGUAAAAUCUCUGAACCUUUCACUUUCUAGAGAUGGUGGCAAGAAAUUUAGGUACAUCGAGAAUUUGGAAAAAUGUAUUAAACUUGAAGUACUGAAUCUCAGCUAUAAUCUAAUAGGAAGAUUGAGAAAGAUGGACAAGCUGUUAAAAUUACGU